UGUAACCAGUGGACUCCUUGUUCUCCCAGCACUGCCCUCACAGCCCAAAGAAUUUCUGAACAAAGAGAACAAGAUUCAAGUUUAAAACCAAGACCUCUGCUUCCAUUUCUGUGUUUUCCUUCCCUCCCAUAGCCCAGAGUGUGCCCCAGCAAACCAGCUGUCAGGAAAGCAUUUGAUGUCAGUCAUUUGCAUCUUAAUGCGAUGGAAAGGUACCUGUGAUGCUUGGAGUCAAGUACUGGGUUCCAUCUUGGGAAGCCAGAGCGUCGGAUCUUCGGUCACUCCUGGUGAGCACAAGCAAGUGAGAGCUCAGGCUCUGGUGCAGGUUAGUGAACCAGCAGAUCUUGUUAUGAGGAGCGGUUAAACUUUCACAAGCUCAGUUACAAUGUGAUGCUCAACAAAUUCAUUUUAAAGGGACCACUUGAUAGAAUUAGGGAAAAGAACCAUUGGCUCUACAGAUUGAUUUAGCAUAGAUCUUGUCCAAAGAAAGGAGAAGUCUUAAAGUUCAAUAUGAAUAAAAUUUAAAUGUGACUCAGAAGAAAGAGCAUUUUCUUGUAUGGAUUUGAGCUGUGUGAAACCAGCAGCAAUAAACGGGACU
rnacentral:lncRNA from 1 species